rnacentral:rRNA from 1 species
AUUGAACGCUGGCGGCAUGCCUUACACAUGCAAGUCGAACGGUAACAGGUCUCCGGAUGCUGACGAGUGGCGAACGGGUGAGUAAUACAUCGGAACGUGCCUAGUAGUGGGGGAUAACUACUCGAAAGAGUGGCUAAUACCGCAUGAGAUCUACGGAUGAAAGCAGGGGAUCGCAAGACCUUGUGCUACUAGAGCGGCCGAUGGCAGAUUAGGUAGUUGGUGGGAUAAAAGCUUACCAAGCCGACGAUCUGUAGCUGGUCUGAGAGGACGAUCAGCCACACUGGGACUGAGAAACGGCCCAGACUCCUACGGGAGGCAGCAGUGGGGAAUUUGGACAAUGGGCGCAAGCCUGAUCCAGCAAUGCCGCGUGCAGGAUGAAGGCCUUCGGGUUGUAAACUGCUUUUGUACGGUACGAAAAGCCCCGGGUUAAUACCCUGGGGUCAUGACGGUACCGUAAGAAUAAGCACCGGCUAACUACGUGCCAGCCGCCGCCGUAA